GAAUUUUUUGAGUGAGUAUAAACAGAGGCAAGCCAGCCCUCCUGCCCCAUCUCAGGAGGAUUAUGUAAACCUCUGAGCUUUCUCUGGCUGCUGUAUUUUGCCUUUACAGAGUCUAUCUGGUUAAGGAUAGCUCGCCUCACUCUCUCGGAGUGUGGUGCAGGAACCGCAACAAGUUUUGCUGAGCAGCAUUUAUUUAAACUUCUCAAGUUUCCCAAAAUUCUGUUUCACCAUUGUUGAAAAUCAAGUGGAGACCUGAGAGAAGGUGAAACCUUUCUGGACCCAAGGCCUGCCUUGCUGUUGAGCCUCAUUCUCUGCCUUGCUUCUAGAGAUGUGGGACUGUGACAUCACUGUUUGAUGGCUUCCUUUGAGCACUGAAGGCCAUGAAUGGGAGCGUGCAUAGUUUCAUUAACACACCAUCCUGAUACCUGAGGUGCUGAGCCUGCUUUCUCCAAGUGAGCUGAUAGUGACAACCAUCACAAAAGCCUGUUCUUCUCUACUCACCAUUGCUUUGCCUGUGUCUUGCUGUCCAUCAGCCUCCCUGGUUGAUAGAACACCCGUAACCAAUACCAGUGACUGAACAUGAAGAAGAUCCCUAAAACAAGAUGAGCUGAUCAAGGUAAAAGAACAAGAUAUAGGACUCUCAGCUCCUCCAGCCCUAUGCCUGCCUAGAUGC